UUGACCUCAAAUCAGGUAGGAUUACCCGCUGAACUUAAGCAUAUCAAUAAGCGGAGGG
rnacentral:rRNA from 1 species